rnacentral:lncRNA from 1 species
ACAAUUGUGUGCCCUCAAGUAUAACUUCAGUCAUUCUCACAGCCCAUUGAAAGCUCUUGUACUAGGUCAGUGUUAUACAGUUAAAGGACAAAGUCAGACCAGGUAGUGAGGUCAGGGUAGACUUUUUCCAGCAUUGGUGACCAGGAGAGCUCAUCUGAAACAUACUAUCUGCAGUAAUUAUUGGAACUCAAUUAUGUGAGAUAGGACUGACAGUGUGUGACCCAGGACUACACUGUACAUCACAAUGUUAGCAUUGGCUCUCUGAAGUGGCUUAAAGUACCCAGGGAAACAAGAACAUUCUUUUUUUUUCUUUUUUUUUUUGUCUGUUAUAUAUAUAUAUAUUUUAAAGAUUUAUUUAUUAUUAUAUGUAAGUACACUGUCUUCAGAUGCACCACAAGAGGGCAUCAGAUCUCAUUACGGAUGGUUGUGAGCCACCACGUGGUUGCUGGGAUUUGAACUCAGGACCUUUGGAAGAGCAGUCGGUGCUCUUACCCACUGAGCCAUCUCUCCAGCCCUAAUUGUAUUUUUAUAUAUGGGUUCUUGACUUGUAUGUAUGCUCAUGUGCCAUGCCUGUGCCUGGUGCCCUCAGAGGCUAAAAGAUGGCAUCCGGUCCCCUAGAGCUGGAGCUGCAGGUGAUUAUGAGCUACUAUGUGGAUACUGGAAUGAAAGUCUGGUUCUCUGCAAGAACAGCUAGUGCUUUUAACUACAGAGCUAUCUGACCAUCCACAAAGCAAGAACAUGCUGACAAGCAGGACAUUCUAGGAUUCCCUGGGUCAUCCUCUAAAGAGUUCAGUGAAGCUAAUUGUUUACCACAGAUACCCUGUCUCAUGUUUUCCACAGAUUUAACACUAGACAGUGAGCGUUGACUCUGAUAAUUGACCCUGGUGUUCUGCAGGGUGAUUUGUAUUUCCUGUAGGUGUUUAUAAGUUAGGGCUCUACAGACAGUACAUGUUCUUCCCUCUCUUAGGUGUACUCCAUUAUUCUCAGCAUAGACUCAGAGGCCUGGUCUUAGGCUAUUCUCAGUACUGGGUCAUAGCAUGACUAGCAUUGAUGUUGUUGAUGCUCUGAUUCUGUACUCCUCUAUACUGUCGUUUAAGUAUUUUCUUUAUUUUCUGGCCUGACCAGGCUCAACUUGUCCUGUACUUGUCCUGGCCUGCAGUCAGCUACUUCUACAGAGAACCCUGGCUCCUUUACUGGAGAUUGUUAUUUACAACCAGGUUGUGGGUCCAAGACUAUGUUGGUGAGAUGUAUAUACUAGGUUCUCAGUGGCCAGUGCUAGAAAAUAUUUGUAAAUACCAUUUUAAUCAUUCUGAACUAUAUUUUCUAUACAGAAUGUUAUGGCUUUUGGAAGGUAUAUAAACAGUAUUUUACAUUCCUUGUUAUUAUAUUGAUACUUACCAGUGAAACAUUCCUAUGUGUGGAAUCAGACUAAAUGGCUUCACACCAAGUUGGGCUGUUGGGCUGUGCUGCUAUUUGACACCAAAUCUGAGGGGGAAAUUUUAGGUUUCUGGGAUGUCUGCAUUUUGACAUUGUGAUUGGAGAUUAUGCACUGUAAUUCUGAGCACAGAAGUCCCAGUGUAACUACACCUUUGUGGAGUCUAAGCUUUAUCAAACAGAAAGACAGCACUUAAAUGUGGGGCCUACACUGUGUGUGCAUUCUUAGAAAAUGUGUAGUCUAAAAUCCAAAGCUGCUCCCAGUAUGCUGCUGUUGAGAGUAAAUACACAAGAGUACUGCUGGCCUCUUCAGUUCAGGCAGUGAGCUGCUCCUAACAGAAUUGCAAAUAUUGGAAUUUUUUCUUAAUGUGAGAAUAGCAUAUCGUUGGAGAGGGGAGGUCUUUACUAGAGCUUGAACUUAGGUCCUUACACAUACUGAGUAGGUUCUUGACCAGUUAGCAGUGGUAGGGCAGGGAAAUGAAAGCCAACAUGAUGCUCAUUAAAAGGAACAAUAAAUAGCAAGACACAUGUGACCAAAACCUGAGGGUAUCUGUGUCACUGUAAAAAUAUAAACAGCUCUUAAGUGCAUUGCCAGGAGACAAGACUGAAUAGAUCUAAGCAAAGCAUACCCUUAGGGAAAUGUACGGGAAGACACAGGAAGGCGAGCAGUCUCAGACAUAGUCCCCAAAGCAGGACUGAUAUGUACUAAGAGGGCAUAGUGCAAGGGGAAGAGUGGAGACAGCAAAGCUCUUCCUCUUAGGUUGGUGUCCAUGUGUGGCCCACAGCAGAGCUGAACCACAUUUAUUCUGAAAACUCAGCAUCCCAACCAGCACAAAGUGAAACAUAGAAACCUAGGGGAGAGGAUGAAUAAAGGCCUAGCAUUAGUGAAAGUGACUCACUUAGCUUGGUUGCAGACAGCAGGAACAAUGAAACUGUGAAAAAUGUUUUUCAUGGGUUUAGUGAAGUUAAUUUACUAAAUUCUAGUCCAUAUCCAGUGUUUGUAGGAAUUAUAUAAGAAAUGAGGGAUGAGAAAAAUUACAGCUAACAUCUUUAUAGGGAAAACGUUUUGGCAUUAUACCAUUUGUAUAAAUUACAAAGUAAAAUUCACUUGGAAACC